rnacentral:rRNA from 1 species
AGACCCGAAACCCGGUGAUCUAGCCAUGGGCAGGUUGAAGGUUGGGUAACACUAACUGGAGGACCGAACCGACUAAUGUUGAAAAAUUAGCGGAUGACCUGUGGCUGGGGGUGAAAGGCCAAUCAAACCGGGAGAUAGCUGGUUCUCCCCGAAAGCUAUUUAGGUAGCGCCUCGUGAAUUCAUCUCCGGGGGUAGAGCACUGUUUCGGCUAGGGGGCCAUCCCGGCUUACCAACCCGAUGCAAACUGCGAAUACCGGAGAAUGUUAUCACGGGAGACACACGGCGGGUGCUAACGUCCGUCGUGAAGAGGGAAACAACCCAGACCGCCAGCUAAGGUCCCAAAGUCAUGGUUAAGUGGGAAACGAUGUGGGAAGGCCCAGACAGCCAGGAUGUUGGCUUAGAAGCAGCCAUCAUUUAAAGAAAGCGUAAUAGCUCACUGGUCGAGUCGGCCUGCGCGGAAGAUGUAACGGGGCUAAACCAUGCACCGAAGCUGCGGCAGCGACACUUAAGUGUUGUUGGGUAGGGGAGCGUUCUGUAAGCCU